AUUGAACGCUGGCGGCAGGCCUAACACAUGCAAGUCGAACGAGUGGCGGACGGGUGAGUAAUGUCUGGGAAACUGCCCGAUGUAGGGGUAUGACGAGUGGAAACGUUAGCUACUAGCGCUUACGGUCGGUUGUGGCGAGGUUGGAGUAGCGAGUAGGUGGGGUAACGGUUCACCUAGGCGACGCUCCCUAGCUGGUCUGAGAGGAUGAACGGCCACACUGGAACUGAGACACGGUCCAGAGUCCUAGGGGAGGCAGCAGUGGGGAAUAUUGGACAAUGGGCGAAAGCCUGAUGGAGCAAUGCCGCGUGUAUGAAGAAGGUUUUCGGGUUGUAAAGCUCUGUUAGGGAGGAGGCGUUAAUCGAAGAAGAAGCACCGGCUAACUCCGUGCCAGCAGCCGCGGUAAUAC
rnacentral:rRNA from 1 species